GGGUUGUGAGGUUAAGCGACUAAGCGUACACGGUGGAUGCCCUGGCAGUCAGAGGCGAUGAAGGACGUGCUAAUCUGCGAUAAGCGUCGGUAAGGUGAUAUGAACCGUUAUAACCGGCGAUUUCCGAAUGGGGAAACCCAGUGUGAUUCGUCACACUAUCAUUAACUGAAUCCAUAGGUUAAUGAGGCGAACCGGGGGAACUGAAACAUCUAAGUACCCCGAGGAAAAGAAAUCAACCGAGAUUCCCCCAGUAGCGGCGAGCGAACGGGGAGCAGCCCAGAGCCUGAAUCAGUGUGUGUGUUAGUGGAAGCGUCUGGAAAGGCGUGCGAUACAGGGUGACAGCCCCGUACACAAAAAUGCACAUGCUGUGAGCUCGAUGAGUAGGGCGGGACACGUGGUAUCCUGUCUGAAUAUGGGGGGACCAUCCUCCAAGGCUAAAUACUCCUGACUGACCGAUAGUGAACCAGUACCGUGAGGGAAAGGCGAAAAGAACCCCGGCGAGGGGAGUGAAAAAGAACCUGAAACCGUGUACGUACAAGCAGUGGGAGCACGCUUAGGCGUGUGACUGCGUACCUUUUGUAUAAUGGGUCAGCGACUUAUAUUCUGUAGCAAGGUUAACCGAAUAGGGGAGCCGAAGGGAAACCGAGUCUUAACUGGGCGUUAAGUUGCAGGGUAUAGACCCGAAACCCGGUGAUCUAGCCAUGGGCAGGUUGAAGGUUGGGUAACACUAACUGGAGGACCGAACCGACUAAUGUUGAAAAAUUAGCGGAUGACUUGUGGCUGGGGG
rnacentral:rRNA from 1 species